rnacentral:rRNA from 1 species
AAUAGAUACCCGGGUAGUCCACGCCGUAAACGAUGAGUGCUAAGUGUUAGAGGGUUUCCGCCCGUUUAGUGCUGCAGCUAACGCAUUAAGCACUCCGCCUGGGGAGUACGGUCGCAAGACUGAAACUCAAAGGAAUUGACGGGGGGCCCGCACAAGCGGUGGAGCAUGUGGUUUAAUUCGAAGCAACGCGAAGAACCUUACCAGGUCUUGACAUCCUCUGACAACUCUAGAGAUAGAGUGUUCCCCUUCGGGGGACAGAGUGACAGGUGGUGCAUGGUUGUCGUCAGCUCGUGUCGUGAGAUGUUGGGUUAAGUCCCGCAACGAGCGCAACCCUUGAUCUUAGUUGCCAGCAUUUAGCUGGGCACUCUAAGGUGACUGCCGGUGACAAACCGGAGGAAGGUGGGGAUGACGUCAAAUCAUCAUGCCCCUUAUGACCUGGGCUACACACGUGCUACAAUGGAUGGUACAAAGGGCUGCAAGACCGCGAGGUCAAGCCAAUCCCAUAAAACCAUUCUCAGUUCGGAUUGU